GUGUUGCUCACUUCAGCAGUACAUAUAGUAAAACUGGGACAAUACAGAGAAGAUUAAUAGGGUGACACACAAAUUCGUUAAGUGUUCCAUAUUUUC
ensembl:snRNA U6 U6 spliceosomal RNA